CAGUAGCCGCGGGAACACGGAGGGGGCUAGCGUUGUUCGGAAUUACUGGGCGUAAAGCGCACGUAGGCGGCUUGGUAAGUUAGAGGUGAAAGCCUGGAGCUCAACUCCAGAAUUGCCUUUAAGACUGCCGAGCUAGCAGGUGAGAGAGGUAAGUGGAAUUCCGAGUGUAGAGGUGAAAUUCGUAGAUAUUCGGAAGAACACCAGUGGCGAAGGCGGCUUACUGGCUCAUACUGGACGCUGAGGUGCGAAAGCGUGGGGAGCAAACAGGAUUAGAUACCCCCGUAGUCCCUGUCUCUUAUAC
rnacentral:rRNA from 1 species